AUGGUUCAGAGGCUUACCUACCGCCGGCGCCAUAGCUACGCCACGAAGUCGAACCAACAUCGGGUUGUCAAAACCCCCGGUGGUAAACUUGUUUAUCAGACUACUAAGAAGAGAGCUAGUGGACCAAAAUGCCCUGUUACUGGAAAGAGGAUUCAAGGGAUUCCACAUUUGAGGCCCACGGAGUACAGAAGAUCAAGGUUAUCUAGAAACAGGAGGACUGUUAACCGUGCUUAUGGUGGAGUUUUAUCUGGAGGUGCUGUUAGAGAAAGAAUUAUUCGAGCAUUCUUGGUUGAGGAGCAAAAGAUUGUCAAAAAGGUCUUGAAGAUCCAGAAGACCAAGGAAAAACAAGCUUCAAAGGCUUAA